UACGUAGGGGGCAAGCGUUGUCCGGAUUUAUUGGGCGUAAAGAGCGUGUAGGCGGCCAAGUAGGUCAGCUGUGAAAACUCGAGGCUCAACCUCGAGACGCCGGUUGAAACCAUCUGGCUAGAGUCCGGAAGAGGAGAGUGGAAUUCCUGGUGUAGCGGUGAAAUGCGCAGAUAUCAGGAAGAACACCCGUGGCUAAGGCGGCUCUCUAGUACGGUACUGACGCUGAGACGCGAAAGCGUGGGGAGCGAACAGG
rnacentral:rRNA from 1 species